GAGAGUGGAUUGGUGCCUUCGGGAACUUAGAUACAGGUGCUGCAUGGCUGUCGUCAGCUCGUGUCGUGAGAUGUUGGGUUAAGUCCCGCAACGAGCGCAACCCUUUUCCUUAUUUGCCAGCGGGUUAAGCCGGGAACUUUAAGGAUACUGCCAGUGACAAACUGGAGGAAGGCGGGGACGACGUCAAGUCAUCAUGGCCCUUACGGCCAGGGCUACACACGUGCUACAAUGGUCGGUACAAAGGGUUGCUACCUCGCGAGAGGAUGCUAAUCUCAAAAAGCCGAUCGUAGUCCGGAUCGCAGUCUGCAACUCGACUGCGUGAAGUCGGAAUCGCUAGUAAUCGCGGAUCAGAAUGCCGCGGUGAAUACGUUCCCGGGCCUUGUACACACCGCCCGUCACACCAUGGGAGUUUGUUGCACCAGAAGUAGGUAGUCUAACCGCAAGGAGGACGCUUACCACGGUGUGGCCGAUGACUGGGGUGAAGUCGUAACAAGGUAAGCGUAGAUGA
rnacentral:rRNA from 1 species